rnacentral:rRNA from 1 species
GAUGAACGCUGGCGGCGUGCCUAAUACAUGCCAGUCGAGCGAACAGACGAGGAGCUUGCUCCUCUGACGUUAGCGGCGGACGGGUGAGUAACACGUGGAUAACCUACCUAUAAGACUGGGAUAACUUCGGGAAACCGGAGCUAUUACCGGAUAAUAUAUUGAACCGCAUGGUUCAAUAGUGAAAGACGGUUUUGCUGUCACUUAUAGAUGGAUCCGCGCCGCAUUAGCUAGUUGGUAAGGUAACGGCUUACCAAGGCAACGAUGCGUAGCCGACCUGAGAGGGUGAUCGGCCACACUGGAACUGAGACACGGUCCAGACUCCUACGGGAGGCAGCAGUAGGGAAUCUUCCGCAAUGGGCGAAAGCCUGACGGAGCAACGCCGCGUGAGUGAUGAAGGUCUUCGGAUCGUAAAACUCUGUUAUUAGGGAAGAACAAAUGUGUAAGUAACUAUGCACGUCUUGACGGUACCUAAUCAGAAAGCCACGGCUAACUACGUG